rnacentral:rRNA from 1 species
GAUGAACGCUAGCUACAGGCUUAACACAUGCAAGUCGCGGGGCAGCAUGGGGGUUGCUUGCAAUCCCCGAUGGCGACCGGCGCACGGGUGAGUAACGCGUAUCCAACCUGCCCUUCACCACGGGAUAACCCGGCGAAAGUCGGACUAAUACCGUAUGUUGUCCAUUGACGGCAUCCGAUUUGGACGAAAGGGUUGGCGGUGAAGGAUGGGGAUGCGUCCGAUUAGCUGGACGGCGGGGUGACGGCCCACCGUGGCGACGAUCGGUAGGGGUUCUGAGAGGAAGGUCCCCCACACUGGAACUGAGACACGGUCCAGACUACUACGGGAGGCAGCAGUGAGGAAUAUUGGUCAAUGGGCGUAAGCCUGAACCAGCCAAGUAGCGUGCAGGAUGACGGCCCUAUGGGUUGUAAACUGCUUUUAUGCGGGGAUAAAGUGGCCCACGUGUGGGUUUUUGCAGGUACCGCAUGAAUAAGGACCGGCUAAUUCCGUG